rnacentral:lncRNA from 1 species
UGCUCACCAACAUACUGAGCUAACCCAUCCAUGAAUCAGGCUUGAGGUUUUUUUUCAUCAUUCAUCAGCUGGCUUCAAGCAUCUCCAUGAAGCCCUAGGGGUGAACUCAGGGAGAGGCACCAGUGUUAACAGUGACAAGAAAAAUGGGAAUUUGAGCCAUCUGUUCAUGGAACUUUCUUAAUCCCUCUAGACCUGUUUAGGCCAAAUUCUGAAUAUAGCAUUUCAAUCCAUGGAUUGUUGUCCACUCUAUGAUUCAGUGAAUUCAAAAAUACCCAGGUCAUCAUGAGAAGCUGAAGCCAUAGAGUUGUCUGAUGUCAUAUAAUUAGAUAUUCCUUCUCUAUUCUGACCCAGCAAUAGGCCAGAAGCUACUUUUCAAAUGGGAAGGAUAUUUUUGCUGUGGAAGGUAAGGCCUUCCUCCAGAACCUUAAAGACUUUCAUUGUGAGGCUGUUAGUAUAACCUACCACACACUCCACAGUAAUAUUAUAUUUCACUUUCUCACUAAAUUUUCUGAAUCAUAUUCCCAAGAGUCAAGGAGCUCACAUGACAGCCUGGACCUGCUGCAGGCAUUGGUAGUUAUGAAUAGCCACCCUGGUAUAUGAAUGACAUUCAGAAAUACUCCUAUUGUCCAAUCUACUAACUUAUCUAGUAAUGACAGUCCCGGGCUUGUGGUCAUAUCACCCUAUGAGAAUAUCUGAGUGAGGCCCAGAUUCCUGAUUGUCUGCAAACAGUGGCAGUUUUAAACCACUAAAUAUUGGGCCGGUUUGUUACAGAGCAAUAGCUAAUUGAUACAAGUAAUAUGUCUACAAAUACAGUAGUUUGAUUUUUACAAGAAAUGGUGACAUAUUUGAAAGUCAAGUUCAACCGGUAUUAACGGACCUUGGAAAAAAGAUAAUGAGACCACAGUUCUUGGUGUCAGCUUCUAAUAAUUAAUUACCAAGCACUAGCUCCAUAGAGGCUUGUAGAGAACAUGCAGGUGGUGCCAUUUCAUCUGGUCAUGUAGCUUUUCUGUUACUCAGAUUGUUUACAGAAAUAGCUGCCUAACAAAGUUAACUUCUAGGAAGGAUGCCAGGUUACACGGAAUCAUACCAGAGUCUUAGAAUCACAUUGGGCUUUCACCCAAAGUUUUUGCAACAUUAGGUGGAGGCAAUAUAAUUUGGCUUGAAAAGUUACAAGGGAAAAAAAUGUCAGAAAAUGCUCAUGGAACAGGGUGUUCAGAGUCUUCAAGAUAGGAUCUUUCUUGGCCUCCUGAAAAUCAGAGAAAAUUGUAUAUCUGUGAUUUUUUUUUUUUUUUAAUAGAACGACCCAACAGAAUCCAGGGUUGUCACAGAUCAUUAUUAGGCCAACAACUGUAGAAGUUCUAACCCCAAAAUUGAGCUGUAAGACAUAGGAGCAGAUAGAGCUACAGUUGGAAAAUCUAAACAUAGUCUAAAAGUUUUGGCGCUUCAAGAGCUUCUGGGGGAAAGAAAAGAAAUUUGAUUUCUGUGUUGCUGAUGGAAAAGCUCAAAAAUUACCUGAGAAAAUUGUAUUUGACAUAUUUUUAUUGCAAAUGGUAUUUUGCUAUUUGUUUCUAAAAGUUGAAAAUGACCUUGCACGUUAAAAAUCAUCAGUUUAGAAAAAAUAUGAAGUCUGUUUGCAUUUGGAAUUAAGUAUUCCAAUAAUUUCUUAAAUUUAAAAACUACACAUAGAAAGUGUUAUUAUUAUUUUGGAGAGUUUUCGUAGGAUAUUCCAGGCCAAUGAUACUUAUCUGGCUCUUACCUGAAAGUGGCAUAUGUCACGUCUGUCUUCAUUUCAUGGGACUAAGGAAGUCACAGAGCCAACAAAGCACAAAUGCAUAAUCCCUCCAUAUGUACAGUGACGACAGGAAGAAACACUAGUUGGCAUGGUAAAGAAUUGUAGACCCUACCACAGUCCCUACACAACUAAAUAUUCAGAUCACCUGCUCAAUCUAAAUAAAGGUUUGCCAUAGUUGUUGUUGCUGUUGUUUAAAUGAGGCAAACUUUGAUAAAGCCAUUCCAGAGAUAAAAGCACAUUUAACAUAAUUUAUUGAGUACUUGUAAUUGAUGGUAACAUAAUGACUGAUUUAAAAGAACCAUUCAGCUCCUUUGAUAA